AGAGAGAGACAUGCGCGCAUAUCAAUAAGCGGAGGAAAAGAAACUAACAAGGAUUCCCUUAGUAACGGCGAGUGAAGCGGGAAGAGCUCAAAUUUGAAAUCUUCAAGGUUUUACCUUGGACGAAUUGUAGUUUAAAGAAGUGUUUUCUGCUGAAGUUUUGGUAAAAGUUCUUUGGAAUAGGACAUCAUAGAGGGUGAGAAUCCCGUAUUUGACCAUUAUUUUCAGCUUUGUGAUACACUUUCAAAGAGUCGGAUUGUUUGGGAAUGCAGUCCAAAAUGGGUGGUAAAUUUCAUCUAAAGCUAAAUAUUGGCGAGAGACCGAUAGCGAACAAGUACCGUGAGGGAAAGAUGAAAAGAACUUUGAAAAGAGAGUUAAACAGUACGUGAAAUUGUCAAAAGGGAAGCGUUUGACACCAGUGUUGUUUUCUCGAAAAUCAAUUAAAAAUGGCUCGAUUUUGUAUUGUUGAGACCUUAAAAGCUCACUGUACAUUUUUCGUGUCUUUUUUAAUGCACUUUUCGUUUAACAAGUCAACAUCAGUUUCUUUUGUUGUAAAAGGGUCAUUGGAAGGUGGCUUUCUUUUCGGAGAGAGUGUUUAUAGCCUUUGGCCUCUGCAAUAGGAGAGACUGAGGUCUGCAGCGUAGACUCUUCGGGGUUAGAUACAUUUGUGCUAAGUUAUAGCUUUUUAUAGACAACUUGUUGACUAUAAUUAGUCUUGUAGCUUACUCGCUUAUGCUAUUUUACCUACGCUUAGGAUGUUGAGUCGUAGAGCACGCAG
rnacentral:rRNA from 1 species